CUCGUGCGUGCGCAUAAUCCGAGUCUACCAUUUUUUAUUUCUCUUUGGUAAUACAAGGUGUUUGAGGGUUGUUUUUAUUUUUAUUUUUGUAGAAACGUUAUUGUGAGCGUAUUUUAUGCAAAAAACAAAUAGAAUACGUUAACAAUAUUUCUUCCACGAGAAAAAUCUGGAACAUUCUGUAGUUUAUUUCUCGAUGACACGCGUAAAGUGUAUCUGCUAUCGGUCAUCCGACUAUCGAUUAAAAGCUUAGGCUGCGUGAACUUUGUCAUGGGUUGUGUCGAUGAAUUCUUGAUGGAAGGCAAAUUAAUGAAUGGCAAAUCAACAACAGAACCUGAAGAAGAAAACGAUUAUUAAA